rnacentral:rRNA from 1 species
GGACCUUACCUAGACUUGACAUUCCGGGGAUUUUUUGGAAACAGAGAGGUGCUUUACCGAAAAGGAACCCGAACACAGGUGCUGCAUGGCUGUUGUCAGCUCGUGUCGUGAGAUGUUGGGUUAAGUCCCGCAACGAGCGCAACCCUUGCCUUUAAUUGCCACCAUUCAGUUGGGCACUCUAAAGAGACUGCCGGUGUCAAACCGGAGGAAGGUGGGGAUGACGUCAAGUCCUCAUGGCCUUUAUGUCUAGGGCUACACACGUAAUACAAUGGCCGGUACAAAGGGCUGCCAACCCGCGAGGGGGAGCCAAUCCCCAAAAGCCGGUCUCAGUCCGGAUCGCAGUCUGCAACUCGACUCCGUGAAGUGGGAAUCGCUAGUAAU